rnacentral:rRNA from 1 species
UACGAAGGGUGCAAACGUUGCUCGGAAUCAUUGGGCGUAAAGCGCACGUAGGCGGCUUCGCAAGUCGGAUGUGAAAUCCCUCGGCUCAACCGAGGACGUGCAUCCGAAACUGCGGAGCUUGAGUACUGAAGAGGAUCGCGGAAUUCCCGGUGUAGAGGUGAAAUUCGUAGAUAUCGGGAGGAACACCAGUGGCGAAGGCGGCUACCUGGACAAUUGCUGACGCUCAGGCACGAAAGCGUGGGGAGCAAAAGGG